rnacentral:lncRNA from 1 species
AAAUUUUUAAAAACUUUCAAAAACAAAAUCUAAGGAGACUGGAAGAUGCAAAUAUGAACAUAUUUGUGAGGAAUUUCAUAUUUUUGUGUCAUGUAAAAAAUCAACAAGUUCAUCCUCAUACAAUUUUUCAAAGAAUUGACCGAACCUUAUAUUCAAUAAUAAUAGCAAUAAAAUUACAAUUUCUGUAGAAGUGAUUAUUACUAGAAUAAAUACAUCAUCACCUUGAAUCUAGUGCUUUUCAAUCUAUCUCCUAAUUUGCUUCCCCAAUUCAGAUUUCUCCAAAAAUAUGCCAGAAACCUCCCUUUUUGUGAUAUUGUCCAUCUCUCCAUAUCCGUUGCUUGCUGCCGCUAAUGUGACAGUAGAAGUUUACUCACCUUGGUUAAUGGACUAAUUAUCUGGAAUGAUUACAUGAAGGGAGAAAGGUUGAGUACAAUCAGCGAGAAAGAGAAGAUGAAGUAGCUUCUAUUUACUAGAAGAAUCAUCAAAGAAAUAAGCGAAAGAACAGAAGAGGUAGU